ACGAACGCUGGCGGCGUGCCUAAUACCUGCAAGUUGAGCGAUGAAGAUUGGUGCUUGCACCAAUUUGAAGAGCAGCGAACGGGUGAGUAACGCGUGGGGAAUCUGCCUUUGAGCGGGGGACAACAUUUGGAAACGAAUGCUAAUACCGCAUAACAACUUUAAACAUAAGUUUUAAGUUUGAAAGAUGCAAUUGCAUCACUCAAAGAUGAUCCCGCGUUGUAUUAGCUAGUUGGUGAGGUAAAGGCUCACCAAGGCGAUGAUACAUAGCCGACCUGAGAGGGUGAUCGGCCACAUUGGGACUGAGACACGGCCCAAACUCCUACGGGAGGCAGCAGUAGGGAAUCUUCGGCAAUGGACGAAAGUCUGACCGAGCAACGCCGCGUGAGUGAAGAAGGGUUUCGGAUCGUAAAACUCUGUUGGUAGAGAAGAACGUUGGUGAGAGUGGAAAGCUCAUCAAGUGACGGUAACUACCCAGAAAGGGACGGCUAACUACGUG
rnacentral:rRNA from 1 species